AACCCAAUACGAGUUAUGUCGUAUUAUCGAUACGUAAAUACAUAGCGUAUCGAAGGUAGACGCGGAGAACUGAAACAUCUUAGUACCCGCAGGAAGAGAAAGAAAAAUCGAUUCCCUGAGUAGCGGCGAGCGAAACGGGAAGAGCCCAAACCAACGAGCUUGCUUGUUGGGGUUGUAGGACACUCUAUACGGAGUUACAAAGGAAUAGAUUAGACGAAGCAUCUGGAAAGAUGCAUCAAAGAAGGUAAUAAUCCUGUAGUCGAAAAUCUGUUCUCUCUUGAGUGGAUCCUGAGUACGACGGAACACGAGAAAUUCCGUCGGAAUCUGGGAGGACCAUCUCCCAAGGCUAAAUACUCUCUAGUGACCGAUAGUGAACCAGUACCGUGAGGGAAAGGUGAAAAGUACCCCGGAAGGGGAGUGAAAGAGAACUUGAAACCGUGUGCUUACAAGUAGUCAGAGCCCGUUAAUGGGUGAUGGCGUGCCUUUUGUAGAAUGAACCGGCGAGUUACGAUUUGAUGCAAGGUUAAGCAGUGAAUGUGGAGCCGUAGCGAAAGCGAGUCUGAAUAGGGCGUUGAGUAUUUGGUCGUAGACCCGAAACCAGGUGAUCUACCCUUGACCAGGUUGAAGUUCAGGUAACACUGAAUGGAGGACCGAACCGACUUACGUUGAAAAGUGAGCGGAUGAGUUGAGGGUAGCGGAGAAAUUCCAAUCGAACCUGGAGAUAGCUGGUUCUCUCCGAAAUAGCUUUAGGGCUAGCCUCAAGUGAUGAUUAUUGGAGGUAGAGCACUGUUUGGACGAGGGGCCCUUCUCGGGUUACCGAAUUCAGACAAACUCCGAAUGCCAAUCAAUUUAACUUGGGAGUCAGAACGCGGGUGAUAAGGUCCGUGUUCGAAAGGGAAACAGCCCAGACCACCAGCUAAGGUCCCAAAAUAUAUGUUAAGUGGAAAAGGAUGUGGCGUUGCCCAGACAACUAGUAUGUUGGCUUAGAAGCAGCCAUCAUUUAAAGAGUGCGUAAUAGCUCACUAGUCGAGUGACACUGCGCCGAAAAUGUACCGGGGCUAAACAUAUUACCGAAGCUGUGGAUUGUCCGUAGGACAAUGGUAGGAGAGCGUUCUAAGGGCGUUGAAGCAUGAUCGCAAGGACAUGUGGAGCGCUUAGAAGUGAGAAUGCCGGUGUGAGUAGCGAAAGACGGGUGAGAAUCCCGUCCACCGAUUGACUAAGGUUUCCAGAGGAAGGCUCGUCCGCUCUGGGUUAGUCGGGUCCUAAGCUGAGGCCGAUAGGCGUAGGCGAUGGAUAACAGGUUGAUAUUCCUGUACCACCAUGAAUCGUUUUAAGCGAUGGGGGGACGCAGUAGGAUAGGCGAAGCGUACGAUUGGAUUGUACGUCCAAGCAGUAAGACUGAGUGUUAGGCAAAUCCGGCACUCAUAAGGUCAAGCUGUGAUGGGGAGAGGAAAUUGUUUCCUCGAGUCGUUGAUUUCACACUGCCGAGAAAAGCCUCUAGCUAGAUUUAUG
rnacentral:rRNA from 1 species